UACGUAGGGGGCGAGCGUUGUCCGGAGUUACUGGGCGUAAAGGGCACGCAGGCGGUCCUGUAAGUCUGUUCUGACAGCUCCUGGCUCAACCGGGAGAGGCGAACGGAAAACUGUAGGACUUGAGGACUUCAGAGGGACACGGAAUUCCGGGUGGAGUGGUGGAAAUGCGUAGAGAUCCGGAGGAACACCAAAGGCGAAGGCAGUGUGCCUGGGAAGUA
rnacentral:rRNA from 1 species